AAUAGCAAUUUCAAUUUCUCCAAUCCUUCCCUUACUGCCCAGUAUAACUUGGAGCCUUAUGCAAAGAAGCCAAACCUGACAGAGCUCAGCGUGACUGAGAUGCGGAUUUGCAAGCACUGGGAACAUAACUAAAUAGUGCAAGACAAAGCAGGUGGACGUGUUAGACCGUUUAAAAUCCUGGACUCCCGUUAGCAAAUGGUAAUAUCUUCCAUGGCUACAAGACCUCUCCAGCUUUUCCAACCAAGACCAGACCAGAGUUCUCAGAGUUUUGACCUUCUGGAAACAUGAGCCUGCUGAUAUAGCCAGAUGGAACCAGAGUUGGGGGCAGAUCAAACCAGAGAUGACAACUGUCAGUCAGG